CCCGCUCAGAAACUCAAAGGAAUUGACGGGGGCCCGCACAAGCGGUGGAGCAUGUGGUUUAAUUCGACGAUACGCGAAGAACCUUACCCGGGUUUGACAUUGUAUCGAAGCAUCCAGAGAUGGAUGUGUCUCUUCGGAGACGGUAUGACAGGUGCUGCAUGGCUGUCGUCAGCUCGUGCCGUGAGGUGUCGGGUUAAGUCCCAUAACGAGCGCAACCCCUACCUUUAGUUGCCAUCAGGUUAAGCUGGGGACUCUAAAGGAACUGCCUACGCAAGUAGUGAGGAAGGCGGGGAUGACGUCAAAUCAGCACGGCCUUACGUCCAGGGCUACACACGUGCUACAAUGGCCGAUACAGAGGGCAGCUACCUGGUGACAGGAUGCAAAUCUCCAAAGUCGGUCUCAGUUCGGAUCGGAGUCUGCAACCCGACUCCGUGAAGUUGGAUUCGCUAGUAAUCGCGCAUCAGCCAUGGCGCGGUGAAUACGUUCCCGGGCCUU
rnacentral:rRNA from 1 species